AGAGAAUCUGAUUAGAUACGACAAUUUUAUUUCCUAGCCGUUUGCUGUUUCAUUUACUUGGACUCGUAGAUGCUUCCAAGCAAGUGGACUCAAUGUCAGGAGCUGAUAUUAAGAGAAAAAUUGUGGAAUACAUGUCAGAUGCUACUUUUCAUGAGAUGCUAUUCAAACUGGAGAAGGUCAUUGAUGAGUUGGGCGGCGAUUUAGCACUAUAGGUGGCUGGCUUGCUCAUUUCGUGGUGACUCUCAUCCUGUGUUUUUGAUUAGUCUUAACAACAGAAAGGUCAACUUAGGG